GCUGGCCUAAGCGCCGAUUGGCGCGAUUCCUUGCCAAGGUUGGGGUCGGGCGUUCGAAUCGCCUCGCCCGCUCCA
rnacentral:tRNA from 1 species